UACAGAGGUCUCAAGCGUUGUUCGGAAUCACUGGGCGUAAAGGGUGCGUAGGCCGCACGGUAAGUCAGAGGUGAAAUCCCGGAGCUCAACUUCGGAAUUGCCUCCGAUACUGCCGUGCUUGAGGACUGGAGAGGAGUCUGGAAUUCACAGUGGAGCAGUGAAAUGCGUAGAUAUUGGGAAGAACACCGGUGGCGAAGGCGGCCAUCUGGACCGGCACUGACGCUGAGGCGCGAAAGCGUGGGGAGCAAACAGG
rnacentral:rRNA from 1 species